AGAGUUUGAUCCUGGCUCAGGAUGAACGCUGGCGGCGUGCCUAACACAUGCAAGUCGAGCGAAGCAAUUAAGAGGAAGUUUUCGGAUGGAAUGUUAAUUGACUGAGCGGCGGACGGGUGAGUAACGCGUGGGUAACCUGCCUCAUACAGGGGGAUAACAGUUAGAAAUGACUGCUAAUACCGCAUAAGCACACAGAACCGCAUGGUUCGGGGUGAAAAGCCGAGACGGUAUGAGAUGGACCCGCGUCUGAUUAGCUAGUUGGAGGGGUAACGGCCCACCAAGGCAACGAUCAGUAGCCGACCUGAGAGGGUGGCCGGCCACAUUGGGACUGAGACACGGCCCAAACUCCUACGGGAGGCAGCAGUGGGGGAUAUUGCACAAUGGGGGAAACCCUGAUGCAGCGACGCCGCGUGAGUGAAGAAGUAUUUCGGUAUGUAAAGCUCUAUCAGCAGGGAAGAAAAAAGACGGUACCUGACUAAGAAGCCCCGGCUAACUACGUGCCAGCAGCCGCGGUAAUACGUAGGGGGCAAGCGUUAUCCGGAUUUACUGGGUGUAAAGGGAGCGUAGACGGCAAUACAAGUCGGAAGUGAAAUACCCGGGCUCAACCUGGGAACUGCUUUGGAAACUGUAUGGCUGGAGUGCUGGAGAGGUAAGCGGAAUUCCUAGUGUAGCGGUGAAAUGCGUAGAUAUUAGGAGAAACACCAGUGGCGAAGGCGGCUUACUGGACAGUAACUGACGUUGAGGCUCGAAAGCGUGGGGAGCAAACAGGAUUAGAUACCCUGGUAGUCCACGCCGUAAACGAUGAAUGCUAGGGGUUGGGGAGCAAAAGCUUCUGCGGUGCCGCCGCAAAACGCAGUAAGCAUUCCACUUGGGGGAGUACGUUCACAAGAAUAAAACUCAAAAGGAAUUGACGGGGACCCGCACAAGCGGUGGAGCAUGUGGUUUAAUUAGAAGCAACGCGAAGAACCUUACCAAGUCUUGACAUCCCGGUGACGCAUACAGAAAUGUAUGUUCUCUUCGGAGCACUGGAGACAGGUGGUGCAUGGUUGUCGUCAGCUCGUGUCGUGAGAUGUUGGGUUAAGUCCCGCAACGAGCGCAACCCUUAUUCUUAGUAGCCAGCGAGUAAGGUCGGGCACUCUAAGGAGACUGCCAGGGAUAACCUGGAGGAAGGUGGGGAUGACGUCAAAUCAUCAUGCCCCUUAUGAUUUGGGCUACACACGUGCUACAAUGGCGUAAACAAAGGGAAGCGAAGUGGUGACAUGGAGCGAACCCCAAAAAUAACGUCUCAGUUCGGAUUGCAGGCUGCAACCCGCCUGCAUGAAGCCGGAAUCGCUAGUAAUCGCAGAUCAGAAUGCUGCGGUGAAUACGUUCCCGGGUCUUGCACUCACCGCCCGUCA
rnacentral:rRNA from 1 species